AUGCAUUACUUUUUAUACGACCGCAAAAAUUUUAAUUUUUCGUCGUAUAUUGCUAUCACGUUGGCGUCGUCGUCGUCCUGCGUCGUCUUGCCUCUUCCGUCGUCGUCGUCGUCCGAAUACUUUUAGUUUUCGCACUCUAACUUUAGUAAAAGUGAAUAGAAAUCUAUGAAAUUUUAACACAAGGUUUAUAACCACAAAAGGAAGGAUGGGAUUGAUUUUGGGAGUUUUGGUCCCAAAAUUUUAGGAAUUAGGGGCCAAAAAGGGCCCAAAUAAGCAUUUUCUUGGUUUUCGCACUAUAACUUUAGUUUAAGUAAAUAGAAAUCUAUGAAAUUUUGACACAAGGUUUAUGACCACAAAAGGAAGGUUGGGAUUGAUUUUGGGAGUUUUAGUUCAAACAGUUUAGGAAUUAGGGGCCAAAAAAGGGCCCAAAUAAGCAUUAUUCUUGGUUUUCGCACAAUAACUUUAGUAUAAGUAAAUAGAAAUCAAUGAAAUUUAAACACAAGGUUUAUGACCACAAAAGGAAGGUUGGCUUUGAUUUUGGGAGUUGAGGUCUGAACAGUUUAGGAAUUAGGGGC
rnacentral:lncRNA from 1 species